AGUCAACGAAAGCGAGGAGUACGUGGAGAAGAGGAAGAACUUCUGGUCCACUGUGAAGCCUGCCCAUUUUGGUGUUAAGAUUGGCACAAAGUCUCUUCUUGGCAUCGUGGUGGUCAUCAUAACCGGUUUCUUCAUUGGGCUUCUCGGAAUGUUCGAAUUUGGGAGGUGGCUUCUCUUGAAAUUUCCUGAGAUUUUCUCGCUGGGCAUGUUUAGAAAGACUGGACCGACGGAGGAGCAGG
rnacentral:misc_RNA from 1 species